rnacentral:rRNA from 1 species
CCUACGGGAGGCAGCAGUGAGGAAUAUUGGUCAAUGUACGAGAGUCUGAACCAGCCAAGUAGCGUGAAGGAUGACUGCCCUAUGGGUUGUAAACUUCUUUUAUAUGGGAAUAAAAUGUUCCACGUGUGGGAUUUUGUAUGUACCAUAUUAAUAAGGAUCGGCUAACUCCGUGCCAGCAGCCGCGGUAAUACGGAGGAUCCGAGCGUUAUCCGGAUUUAUUGGGUUUAAAGGGAGCGUAGGUGGAUUGUUAAGUCAGUUGUGAAAGUUUGCGGCUCAACCGUAAAAUUGCAGUUGAAACUGGCAGUCUUGAGUACAGUAGAGGUGGGCGGAAUUCGUGGUGUAGCGGUGAAAUGCUUAGAUAUCACGAAGAACUCCGAUUGCGAAGGCAGUUCACUGGACUGCAACUGACACUGAGGCUCGAAAGUGUGGGUAUCAAACAGGAUUAGAUACCCGGGUAGUC